rnacentral:snRNA from 1 species
GGACUUGAGGGAGAUCUGGCUGCUUUUUCUGUCACCCCAAUGACCAUGAGGGUUGAUCUGGCUAAUCUGACUGUCCCUUUCUCCUUAUCACUCCCUGUGUGUCUCCUGAAGCUGUGUGCCUGGCCAGAGAAUGACCUUCCUCAAAUAGAAGUGACAGUUCUUUGUUUGAGAUAUGUGAGUAACUGUGGUCCCUCGCUACAACCUCCAAACAGCUUUGUCAGAUCAUUUUGGUUUUGGCCUUAUGAUACAGACCAUGCAUAUCAAAAUAGAAUGCUUGAUGUGAGAUACCACUCUCACUU